AAUCAAUAAACAGCAGCAGCUGGUGUUAGAAGCGAGAGGCAGAAUACAGAGGCUUUCUGGCCAAACAAGACUAUAUAUAUACAGUGGCAAGAUUAUUUGAACCUUCAAGUGUCUGUCGGUUCAGCCAAGGUCAUUUGUGACUCGUCAAUACUGCUCUUAGUGGUGAACUGAAGAGGUUGACCCUCCCAUACAGCAGGUCUAUCAGAGGAGCUCUGAAUUGAAGAGACACACACAGCCAGAGGUGCCCAGGCAAAGGUAGAGCUGCCAUACCUGACAUUCCACUUCCUCUACUCUAUACUGUAUACUAGAUACCAGAGGAACUCUCCAGUUGGGCUGCAAAAAUAUAGACCCACUGACAUU